GUUGUGACCAAAGUAAAUGUUGACCUUAAUGGCCUCUGAUUCACUACUUCAAGGCUUUGGUCUAAUUUUUACUUUCUCUUGGUCUUUUGCUAAUAUCAAAAUUUAAGUGGUGACAAAUGUGAAGUUAGCUGUUUUUCUUGAUCUCAUGGCCUAGAUUUUUUGCUGACAUGGUUCAACAGUUGUGGAUGCUGCAUUUAUAAUCCAAGUUUUAGUCGAGCAGCAUCUUCUACGCUGCAUAAUGUUUGGUUGCAAACAAAGGAUAUAUGAGCAAUGAGGUUUCUUUAUGCCUAGAUUAUGGGA
rnacentral:lncRNA from 1 species